UAAAGGAACUUAUUGCCACAGCGAUAAGAGUUUUUAUUGCUUCCCGGAAUAAUUUAUGGUUGAAAUUAAUUAUGCGAAAUAAGUAAUUUGCGCGCGCAAGUUAAUUUAGGUAUAGUCACGUGACUGGAAAUUUCGGUAUUUAUCAGUGGUGAAGCGGGCUAUCUGUCCUUUCCUAUUCCACGAGGGCUGCAGUUCACAUCAAGAAAUUGGAUGGAAGAGAAUUACCCACCCUCCUCCCCGUUGUUGGACGCGAUAUGUUGAACUUAUAUAGAUACGUUAUGUGUAGUGGGCGUUAGUAAUGCCCCCACCUUGUCUGUGCUAAAUGUUAUAUAGUUAUUAAUUAAUAAUUUUUCUUGUUAAUUAUUAAAAAUUGAUUAAAACAAUAAAGCGGCUAUGUGCCAACAACCGGGCACAUAAGCCAUAAUUAUGCCAUAAAGGCUUUGACUGGUCUCGUAGUAUUCGGC